rnacentral:lncRNA from 1 species
AUGAGAAUACAAUUUAUUUUCAGUUGUUUUGCCUCUAUUAACAAAAAUAAGUUUAAAGGUAACUGGAGAAGUUCAACCUUUAGCACGCAUCAACCCUGGAGGGUUGGUAGGACACAGACGGUUAACUUGGCCUCUGAUUGGGAAUCCGAGCUGAGCCUAAGCUCCCGGGCAGUGCUGCUCUGCCGCCGGGUUCUGGGGUGCUCUGCUCUGCCGCUGGGUUCUGGGGUACACUGCUGCUGGGUUCUGGGGCACACUGCUCUGCUGGGUUCUGGGGUACACUGCUCUGCUGGGUUCUGGGGUACACUGCUGCUGGGUUCUGGGGUGCACUGCCCUGCCGUUGGGUUCUGGGGUGCACUGCUCUGCCGCUGGGUUCUGGGGUACACUGCUGCUGGGUUCUGGGGCACACUGCUCUGCUGGGUUCUGGGGUACACUGCUCUGCUGGGUUCUGGGGUGCACUGCUCUGCCGCUGGGUUCUGGGGUGCACUGCUCUGCCGCUGGGUUCUGGGGUACACUGCUGCUGGGUUCUGGGGUGCACUGCUCUGCCGCUGGGUUCUGGGGUGCUGUGGGUUCUGGGGUGCACUGCUCUGCCAUUGGGUUCUGGGGUACACUGCUCUGCCACUGGGUUCUGGGGUGCACUGCUGCUGGGUUCUGGGGUGCAGUGCUCUGCUGUUGGGUGUAGCCCCUUGGUUGAAAGAAAAUCAUUUAGAUGAGAUUUCAACGUGCUUGGUUUUUUCUUGCAGGUACAGUCUGUCGUACAUCCCAUAUGCAAGGCUCAGGAGCGGAAGUGGAAGAACCCGGAUAGAAUGGAUGAUUUCAUGCGCGUAGGCACUGCCUGUUGUUAUCUGAGUGGCGAGGAGGAAGACUUCAGCAUCUAGGAUGCCCCGACUGUUCUUCCGUCCCAAGGCCGUUCAUAGAACAGACCGUGUUAGAAGAAAGGGAGGCGGUUCAAAGCGAUUGACAAGUUCCUACUUCUAAAUAGUGGGAUUUCUAAAAGCUAGUGUUAGUUUUUCCUGUUUUAAAAUUCAGGUCUAGUUUUGGUUCCAGACAUUUGACUGCCUACUGCUGCAUCGAGUAAAUUAUGUAAAUUACGUCAGGCAAAGCACAGACGUCAGGGUGGGCGUCUGCUACAGCGUUUCCGACGCCUCCGCGGACGCCUGGGCCUGAGCGCCAGUGCCAGCUCCGAGCCCAGCUUCCCUGGCACUGACGUGGGAGACCUGGAUGGAGCCGCGGCCUCCUGGCCUUGGCCCUGCCCGGCCUGGCCCUGGUUCUACAGGCGUUUGGGGAGUGACCCAGCCGGUGGAAAGAUCUCUCACUGUUUCUUUCUUGGUCUCUUUCAGACACACAAAAAUAAAUUUAAAAUCCAUGCACGGAAAUGGAGCA